AUGAUUCCGGCAGCAGCGUUGGCGGUGUUGCUCCUGCAGCUCUGCCUCUCAACGGCGGCGGCUCAGGUUACGCCAGGCGCAGGGACGCCCCCGCCGCGCUGCCCGACCAGCUGCGGCGGCGUGAAAGUGCCGUACCCGUUCGGCAUCGGGAAUGGAUGCCACCGGCCAGGAUUCAACCUGACCUGCGACCGGACACGCGGCAGAGAGCCGCGGCUGCUCAUCGGCAGCGACCUCCAGGUCGUGGAGAUCUCUCUGGCCAACUCCACGGUGAGAAUCUUGGACAGAGCAGGCCAGGUCAAGCUCACCUUCUCCGGGGGGCUCGAUGGCAACGGCACCUGGGGCGGCCUCGGCGCCAGCGGCCCUUACGUGCUCUCGGAGAUGCGCAACCACUUCGUCGUGACGGGGUGCAACGUGCAGGCCACGCUGGUCGGGGACGGCGGCGUCGUAGGCUGCUGCUCCUCCUUCUGCUCCAUCAACGACAGGUGGACGGGCGCCGUGACGAGCGCCGCUGGCUACGGCGGUGCCGCCUGCUCUGGCAUCGGCUGCUGCGAGACGCCCAUCCCCAUCGGCCGCCCUUCCUACGGCGUGGAGAUGAAGUCCCUGGAUGCGAGCAACGAGUACACCGACAGGCUGCCCAUCGCGGUGCGUAUCGCCGAGAGAGGAUGGUUCGAAGGCGCCUCCACCACGCUCCUCAACGACUCGACCGGAUACUCGCCCUCCCGCGGGCCGGCAGUGCCCGUCGUCCUGGACUUUGUGGUGGAUUCCAAGCCGGUGGUGCUGCCGGGGGUGGCGACGUCGGGCUGCCCCGUGGAUGCACGGAGGAGCGCGUGCCAAAGCAGCCAUGCUUCCUGCCGCAAUGUCUCCGGCAUGUAUCGCAGCGGCUAUGUGUGCCGGUGCCUGGACGGGUACCAAGGCAACCCAUACCUCGCGGGCGGAUGCCAAGACAUCGAUGAGUGCGCGCUUCCGGGCAUGUGCUUCGGCGAGUGCACCAACACGGCGGGAGGACACCUAUGCCGGUGCCCACGUGGCGCCCAAGGCGACCCGCUCAUAAGAAAUGGCUGCAUCAAAUCUUCUCUAGGUUUAAGUGUCGGCAUAGGAGUUGGCAGUGGAGCCAGCCUUCUCCUCAUGGUACUUGGUGCUAUUUUUGUGACGCGAAAGAUGAAGCAACGGCGGGCAAAAGUGCUCAAGAAGAGAUUCUUCAGGCAAAAUCGAGGGCAUCUGUUGCAACAAUUGGUGUCUCAGAAGGCGGACAUUGCCGAGAGGAUGAUCGUCCCCUUGGUGGAACUACAAAAGGCCACAAACAGUUUCGACAAAGCUCGUGAGAUCGGUGGAGGAGGGCACGGCACGGUUUACAAAGGCAUCAUGUCGGACCUACAUGUCGUGGCGAUCAAGAAGUCCAAGGUCGCGAUCCAGAGGGAGAUUGACGAGUUCAUAAAUGAGGUGGCCAUCCUCUCACAGAUCAACCACCGAAACGUGGUGAAGCUCUUUGGGUGCUGCCUUGAGACGGAGGUGCCGCUGCUGGUGUACGAGUUCAUUCCCAAUGGGACCCUCUACCAUCAUCUCCAUGUCCAGGAACCAGCGCCAUCCCUAACAUGGCAAGAUCGGCUAAGGAUCGCAACCGAAACUGCGAGAGCGCUCGGCUACCUUCACUCGGCGGUGUCCUUUCCUAUAGUCCACAGGGAUAUCAAGUCCCAAAACAUUCUGUUAGAUGGCAGUCUCAUAGCAAAGGUGUCAGACUUUGGAGCUUCGAGGUGCAUUCAAGUCGAUCAAGCAGAGACCGCAACCGUUAUCCAAGGGACAUUUGGGUACCUGGACCCAUUGUACUUCUACUCGGGACAGCUCACCGAGAAGAGCGACGUUUACAGCUUCGGCGUCCUCCUCAUGGAGCUUCUCACUAGGAAGAAACCAUGCUCAUAUCGUUCAUCCGAGGAGGAAACCCUUGUCAGAUAUUUCACCGCUUCGCUAGCAGCGGGCAAGCUGGCUCGCGUGCUAGAUCCUCAGGUCAUGAAAGAAGGGGGCAAGGAGGUUGAAGAAGUAGCUGUGUUGGCAGUGGCAUGUGUGAGGAUUGAAGUAGACCACCGGCCAACCAUGAGGCAAGUGGAGAUGACACUGGAGAACCUUGGGGGCUCGCAUGAUAGUUUUGUAAUGCAUGACAUGGAUGUGCCGAAGUAUCCAAUGAUUGGGGGUACCAACAUGGAGGAAACAAGCCAGCAGUAUAGCUAUGAAGCAGAGUAUUUGUUGUCAUCAAGGUACCCCCGGUAG
rnacentral:rRNA from 1 species